CUCCAAGGAAUACUAUUAAGACAAAUGUAUAAUAAAAUGUUUUGACAUUACAAUGAAUACUUAUUUUUGUGACAUUGUUGAAAGCCAAGUUGACAACACCACUGCAUGAAAAAAAGUGAAUCAUAUGAAGCCUCUCAACAUCCCUUGACCUGGAAAAAAGAGAAAAAAUUAGAGAAAUGAUGGAGUAAUGCUACAAUUAAUCUACCACUCAAGUGUUUCACUUAGGCAUAUAACUUAUAAGAGUGAGUUGAAGUAAGACUUACUAUAUUUGUUAUAAUAUAUAUAAGAUAUAUAUGACCCGUUGUUACAGUACGUAUAAGAUAUAAAAUAGAAUCUGAUAUGCAUGUAGACUCGAAUAACAUAAUAAUACACAGUUACUCUAAUUAAAUCACAUUAUCUCUUUAAAUAUGCAUAGACAAAAAUAAUUGCCCUAGAAAUUUUGUCUUUAAAAGAUGAAUUACAACAAGAUUCUCACAGGUCUUUAGAAGCCACUAAUGAGCACCAAACCGGACUUAAUCUUCUGUCAUGUCUGAUGUUGUUAGCAUCUAACAAAGCCUGCAGAGAAACAUUUGAAUUUUUCUAGAAGUAUUUGCCUUUUUUGGACUCAAACUUAACAACUUCUGUCUUUCACAAUCAGGAGGGUGUAAAUCAGUCCCAUUCUUUUUAUCUCUGGUUUUCCUUUUAGUUCUAAAAGAAAGUUAUUUAGUCUUCACAACAUUUGUAGGUUCUGACUUGGAUGCAGAUUCUUGUAAGGUAGACAUUGAGAAUUUACACCUAUUUGCAACUUCUACCAGAAAGUUCAGAGACUUCCAUUAAAUCAACAUGAGAAUUCAAAAGUCAUCUUAAAACUAUUUUUUAUGUGUGAUAACAUCUUCUGCCCUUUAUACAUUCACAUCCCAUGCAUACCUUCACACCCAAACAUCAUAAUAUCCUUGACAUGGUCACAAUUUCAAUACAGAGCAUUAACAAUUAUAAUUAUGCUUGAAUUGAAAGUUAAGGAAAUUAUAUCCAUUCAUGUUAGUUCCAAGUACCAAAAACAAAAAUAUAUCACACAACAAAUUUCACAAAGCCGAUCACAGUUUUAAUACAAUGGAAAAAAAUCAUACAGCAAACACAAAUUCAACUCAAACCCAUCAAAAAAUACACACCCCCUCCAUCUUACACACAUACAUGAAACUAAACAAAAACAAAUUACCUAAUAGGCCGUCUAUCAAAAUGAGCCCAAAAUUUAUCAUCAAAAUCAGCUUCUUCGGCCACUUUAUUCUCUGAAUCUUUGAGUUUCCACUUUAGGCUCGAAUUGAAGCAAUUAGCUUGUUGCAGACAAAAUCUACAAAAGAAAAUCGAACAUGAGAAACAGUAGAAAGCCUUGGUAAUUGAAAAGGCUAAACAAAAGAUGUUAAUUAUGCAUAAUUAUACAUCCUGCAUCUACAAAACAUCCAUUCCCAAAGAAACCCAUAGCAAGCUUAAAUUACUCCCAGAACAAAAAUACAAAACAAAACUAUACAAAAAAAAUCAAGAGAGAGAUAGAGAGAGAGAAUUGAAGAUACAAAACUCCAUGGCCCAAAACUAAAAUUAAAUUAGUAAAAUCAUCUCUCUCCUCAUCAUAAUAUAAUUGGUUGUUAAACUGAGCAGCAUGGUCAACGCCUCCAUCGGAAACUUAUAUGGUCCGCCGGGUCACUGCCAAUGGCAACAGAUCUGGGAGUUUUGUCGAAAAUCAAAUAGAGAGGGGGAGGGAGGGAGGGAGGGAGAGGGGCGAAUAUAGAAAUCAGGGGAGAGAGGGAGGGAUAUGCUCUGUGACGAGAGGAAGAGAAAGAUGUAGAACAAGAGAGAUGCUCAUCUGAAUCUCUGCCUUACAAAUCUAACAGGGGGAAGUGAAAAUUUGGGUUAAUAGAUAAAGGGGGGAAAUGAAAAUUUGGGUUAAGAGAUAAGGGGGGAAGUGAAAACGUUU
rnacentral:lncRNA from 1 species